GGUCCCGUGAUGCAAUCGAAGCAUAUCAGACUCCUAAUCUGAAGGUUGCGAGUUCAAGUCUCGUCGGGAUCG
rfam:Rhabditophanes sp. KR3021 genome assembly, scaffold: RSKR_scaffold0000017